ACGAACGCUGGCGGCGUGCCUAAUACAUGCAAGUAGAACGCACAGUUUAUACCGUAGCUUGCUACACCAUAAACUGUGAGUUGCGAACGGGUGAGUAACGCGUAGGUAACCUGCCUGGUAGCGGGGGAUAACUAUUGGAAACGAUAGCUAAUACCGCAUAAUAUUGAUUAUUGCAUGAUAAUUGAUUGAAAGAUGCUAUUGCAUCACUACCAGAUGGACCUGCGUUGUAUUAGCUAGUAGGUGAGGUAACGGCUCACCUAGGCGACGAUACAUAGCCGACCUGAGAGGGUAAUCGGCCACACUGGGACUGAGACACGGCCCAGACUCCUACGGGAGGCAGCAGUAGGGAAUCUUCGGCAAUGGACGAAAGUCUGACCGAGCAACGCCGCGUGAGUGAAGAAGGUUUUCGGAUCGUAAAGCUCUGUUGUAAGAGAAGAACGGGUGUGAGAGUGGAAAGUUCACACUGUGACGGUAUCUUACCAGAAAGGGACGGCUAACUACGUG
rnacentral:rRNA from 1 species